UAGGUGCCGGGGCUUCUCCCGUUUUACCUAGACAGGAGAAGG
rnacentral:tRNA from 1 species